rnacentral:rRNA from 1 species
UACGGGGGGGGCAAGCGUUGUUCGGAAUUACUGGGCGUAAAGGGCUCGUAGGUGGCCAACUAAGUCAGACGUGAAAUCCCCAGGCUCAACCUGGGAACUGCGUCUGAUACUGGAUGGCUUGAAUUCGGGAGAGGGAUGCAGAAUUCCGAGGUGUAGCGGUGAAAUGCGUAGAUAGUCUGGAGGAAUACCGGUGGCGAAGGCGGCAUCCUGGACCGAGAUUGACACUGAUGAGCGAAAGCCAGGGAGCAAACGGG